GUAGGGAAUAUUGGGCAAUGGAAGAGAUUCUGACCCAGCCAUGCCGCGUGCAGGACGAAGGCUUUCUGAGUCGUAAACUGCUUUUGCCCGGGAAGAAUAAGGCGCGUGCGCGCGCCGACGACGGUACCGGGUGAAUAAGCACCGGCUAACUCCGUGCCAGCAGCCGCGGUAAUACGGAGGGUGCAAGCGUUGUCCGGAUUUAUUGGGUUUAAAGGGUGCGUAGGCGGUUCUUUAAGUCCGGGGUGAAAGCCCGUUGCUCAACAACGGAACUGCCCCGGAAACUGGGGGACUUGAGUACAGACGAGGGCGGCGGAAUGGACGGUGUAGCGGUGAAAUGCAUAGAUACCGUCCAGAACCCCGAUUGCGAAGGCAGCUGCCUAGACUGUGACUGACGCUGAGGCACGAAAGCGUGGGGAGCGAACAGGAUUAGAUACCCUGGUAGUCCACGCCGUAAACGAUGGAUACUCGCUGCGGGCGAUACACGGUCCGUGGCUUAGCGAAAGCGGUAAGUAUCCCACCUGGGGAGUACGCCCGCAAGGG
rnacentral:rRNA from 1 species